rnacentral:lncRNA from 1 species
UUGAAGUACUAUUUCAUCCAUGUAUUACAUACAAAGAGAAGAUGGAAAUGAUAAGUUAAAAGUGCAAGAAAGAAGGUACCAUUUCGUAACUUUCCUAUUGAGUCAGACAAUGUACAUUCAAUGAGUUACCAACAAAGCUCGGAAACAGGGAGAGAACAUCCCGUAACAAUUUUAACCAUAACAAAACAAAACGUUUUGAAAAGUCAAACUAGUGCGUGUAACGGUAAAAUGUUCAAUCGUCUCAACUGCCUAAACCAUAAUUAUAUCAAAAUUGUACCAAAUUGUUUCUUAUGAGUGAAUCAGGAU